AAAUGAUGACAUCAUCCAAACAGAUGAAAUUACUGGCAAAUCACGUCGUUGUCAAUGAGUGGUUUUCUGAAG